AAUCAACGCUGGCGGCGUGCCUCAGACAUGCAAGUCGAACGAUUAAAGCUCUCUUCGGAGAGUGUAUAGAGUGGCGCACGGGUGAGUAACACGUAAGUAAUCUACCCUCGAGUGGGGAAUAACAACCGGAAACGGUUGCUAAUACCGCAUAAUGCAGCGGCACCGCAAGGUGACAGUUGUUAAAGAUUUAUCGCUUGAGGAGGAGCUUGCGGCAGAUUAGCUAGUUGGUAGGGUAACGGCUUACCAAGGCUACGAUCUGUAACCGGUCUAAGAGGACGGUCGGUCACACUGACACUGAAUAACGGGUCAGACUCCUACGGGAGGCAGCAGUCGGGAAUUUUGGGCAAUGGGCGAAAGCCUGACCCAGCAACGCCGCGUGAGUGAAGAAGGCCUCGGUUGUAAGACUCUUUCGGUCCGGGAAAACGUACGACCUCUCCUACUACGGGGGUGGGAGUGAUGGUACCGGACGUAACGAAGACACCGGCUACUACGUGCCAGCAGCCGCGGU
rnacentral:rRNA from 1 species